CAAACUCUUGACUUCCUAACAUUUACCACAUAGAUGGACAUAUAUACAGGCUGAUGACAAUGACCCUCCAAAGACGCCCACAUCCUACUCCCUGGAACCUGGGAAUGUGUUUCCUUACUUGGCAAGGGACUUUGCAGAAGUGAUGAGGUUAAGGAUCCUGGGAUGGCAGAUGAUCCUGGCUUAUCAGGUUGCACCCCCUGUUAUCAUACAGGUCUUUAUGAGACAAGAAAAGGCAAUGAAACCACAAAGCAGAGAUCAGAGAGUCAGAGAGAGAGACUGGAAGACGCUAUGCCGCUGGCUUUAGACACAGGGGCAAUGAGCUAAGGAGUGCAGGCAGCCCCUAGAAGCUGGAAAAGGCAAGGAAAUGGAUUAUCCUCUAGAGCUUCCAGAAGGAACUAGCCCUGCCAGUGCCCUAAUUCCAGCUUCAGCCUUCUGACCUCCAGAACAGUUUGUGUUUUUUUACGCCACCAAGUUUGUGGUCAUUUGUACAGCAGCAGUAGGAAACUAAUAAAGCUGAAGAACUUACAAAUGACAGCUGUCCCUGCUAGCUCACCACUCAGCCCUCAAAAAUCAGUAAAGGCUACAUAACAGCACUUUCUCCUUGCACCUCAGGAAAUGCUCUUCUUUCUCGCUUCUCUCUCCUUGCAUUCAUCUCCAGGUUCCAGAUUUAGUGUGCUCAUCUCCAGACUGCAUCACAACCGCUGGCCAUCCAACAACAUGCAGGCACUUGCAAGGUGAGGAAGAAGAGCAGAUACUCAAGCAGAAGAGGAUGUGGGUUGAGGGCACACGCAGCACAGCGGGGGUAGGGGGUGGGGGCGGCCGUCCCAGGCCGUACAGGCCUGAGGGGACGAGCUGGGAGCCCCGUGGAGCUCAGCUGUGCUCAGCCCUCUGCAGUGACGGCUGACAGCUGCAGCGGUGACUGCUGACUGUCAAGAUUCUUCAUGCAGCGUCCUCACUCCUCCCACCCGCUCCAGUCUGCCCAAAGAAAUGGAGUCUGUAUCCACACACACACUCUUUUCAAAAGCCUAUCCAACUUGUGCUGGAAACACAAACCCGCCAAGCCUUCUCUAACCACGCAGGAGGGCCAAGGAGAGCAGGACACAGCGACUCAAGCACCAACUAUUUGCUCUCAUCCUUGAAUGGAAUUUUCACUAAGAAGUAAGAGCUGCUUUACUUUUUAAUUAGGUGCUUAAGAAUCCUUGGGGUUUUCCAAGAUGCCACACUGACUGCACGCAGAUGGAAUUCUGAAGCAGGAGGGAGGAUCUGGGUUCCCUUUUCUCCCAAAUCUGUAGCUUAUUCCUCAAAACGUGCUUUCUUGGGCCUUGACCCUGACAUUUGUCAUUCUUUCCACCUGAUUGUGAAAGCAUGGGUCUUUCUUCCUUAAAACCCUGUCCAUAACUCUCCUCCACGGGAUUCCCCAAGUUCAGAGUUUUCUGCUCGGCUUCCUCUAGAUGCCCCGAGAAAACCCCAGGAUUUACUCCAGUCUCAAAUAGCAACUCCAAGAAGAUGCACUUGUUUUAAAAGUUAGGUUGUAUACACAUGUGUCUAGUAGACUGAAGUUUACAACUCCUUUUCAGUUUUCUAUGAUGCCGAAUCCAGCGCUAUGCACACUUCACCUUGAGCAACUGGGUACAUACAUGAACAAAACCAGCUGUACUGCUGCUCCCACCCCUACAGGAGAAGGGACUGUACAUCCCAGGCAACAAAGCAUCUAACACUACGAUUGGGUGAUCUGGCAAACUCAUAAAACAAAGUCAAGUCCAUGAGUGACGACAGCCCACUGUAGGGAGACACAUUAAGGUGAGGCUUCUUAUGGCUGAGAAAACAAAAAGUUACACCUGAGACCUGCUGACUCCAUGCCACCGAGGUCUCCUCUCCUGUGGGUCCUGCUGGCGUCCCUCCAGAGCACUGUCCUUGGGUCAGGCAGGGAGCUUCUAGAAAAGAAGACCUGGUCCCAUCACCCCAGGCUAAUUCAACCCGGUGACUUUCCAGGGCUCACAGCCUUCUAGUUUAAGGGUGGUCUACAAAGCCCCCAGGCUCUGGUCACAGACGUCCUCCCUCCCAUGGGGCCUGGCAGCCUCUAGCCCUGCUCCGCUGGCCCCCCACUCCCCGUAUGUAGAGCAAGGCCUUCACCACACCGCUGUCAGCUCCCAUGUCCUGUCACGUGCUCCCUCAGCCCCAUGCUUCUCUUCUGUAACUGUCACAACUGUAAUUUUAUGUUCACAUAUCCACAUGAGACACAGGAGACUGAGGAACCUGCGAGGUCAGCAAGGCCUCUCUGAGGACGGUGGGAAGACCUACAGGAGAGAAGUGGGGUAUGUGCGUGUCUGCAGGGGGCCGUGUCCAGGCAGGCGUCACUGAAAGCCCAAGGGGCUCAGCGUGGCUGCAGGCCGCAGUAAAGAGAGGAAGGCCGGAACCCUGGAAGGCUGGAGCGGCACCAGGUGCCCAGAGCCAACUAGCCCAGGUUCAAGAGUCUGACCUUUCUCCGAAGGGCAACUGGAGGCCAGUGGAAGGGCUGAGCAGGGCACCGACAUAAACAGGUCUUCCUUUUCAACAGGCCCCUCAGGCUCCAGUGUGGACUACGGAUUGGAGUGAGGGGAGAAUGGACGCCAAAGGAUCCAUAGGAAGGCCCUUCUAGUUGUCUGGACAAGAGAUGAAGACGCUGGCCUGGACCAGGACAGUGGCAGGUAGACAGACAAUUGGAUACCUGGGGUGAAGUCCAGAGUGCUGGCUGACAGAGCCGCUCUGUGGGAUGAGAACUCCCGGACUCGGGCUUACGCAGUUAGGCGGAUGGUGGACAAGUCACCAAGAUGGGAAAGAAUAAUGGGGAGGACUAAGUUCAACUGUGAAUUUGCUGAGUCUGAGGUACUGAUACGGCAAUUCCAAUACGUACAAGAUGAGGAGUUUGAACUGCCUCCUCUCCCACUUCCUCCAGAAUGACGCUGCUCUCCUCCCUUUGCUCCCCUAAUCAACAGCUAACGUGCCCUUUCUUCAUUUUCCUGGUUACCAUCUGUCCCGCCCCGCCCUGAAGACAGUAAGGCUGGUGAGUGACCUGUCUUCCUCUGCCUUCUUUGCCCAGGUCCCAGAGCCUGGAACAGUCCGGCUGCCACACAGCUGGUGCUCAGGAAACGCUCGUCUGAUUUGAGAUGAGAAUUUGUAAGUCAACGUAUCUCAGUGGCAACUGAAGUCACAGGACGAAGGCACUGUCUAGUAGAAGCACGUAAAGCGGGGAGAGAGGCGGCGAAGGAGGAGGUAUCCAGGGGCUCAGGAGAAACAGCCAGAGAAGCAGGACGAAGAUCAGGGCUCUGUGUGCCAUCACGGAGGCUAACGGAAGAAAGUCUUUCAGGAAGGAAGGAGGGUCAACCCUGUCAAAUGCCACUAAAAGCCACAUUCUGCUGGAUUUGGGAACAUGGAGGUGUGGAGGCUGGUGAGGUCAGUACGUGGAGUGGCGUCGGGAGAAGCUCUUGAAGCUGAGGCUGAAGUAGGAAGACCCAAGUAUCCACAGCACCUUCGAAAAAUGGAGUUGGGAAGAAAGAAGGGCCAUGGGAACCGGGGGCAACAGGGUCAGAGGAGGGGUCUCUGAUUGUUUGGGAGACGGGUUUGAACAUGCUCACUGCUGACAGGGGAGCCACAGAGGAAGGAAGGAUGGGUCUGACAGGAUAGGACCGCUCUCAGUCUGACGGCUUUGUUUGUGCGCACGCGCUUAUGUGUGUGUGAAGACACUAUGAGGUCACCUGUCAAGAAGCACUCUGGAGGGAGGUGAGGAGGACCUGGAGAAAUGGAGACAUUCUGAACACAUUUUUCUCCUCAGCUCCAAACAUCAGCGGCCAACAGGACAUAUAAUGGUUAGAGCCCAAAAGGGGCAGUGCCCACAGAGAAUUCUCCACGGGUGCUCUGACAGUCCCCGUGACUCCCCAACUCACCCCCAGCCAGGCACUGGGAGCGACAGAAGUGGCCCCAUGCGAAGCUGUACCUUGGUGGGGAGGCAGAGCGGAGUGGAACACUCGGAGUGGCUGUUACACCACCGCAUCAGUCCUCCAGGUGCUCUCACAGUGCCCUUACUUUACAGAUGAGGAAACCCGAGCUCAGGGUGCAGGGCCAUCUCUCGGAUCAUGCAAUGAGUGGUGGAGCCAAACUCGGACCUCACUCAGUCCCUGGACUUCAGACAUCACCUCUCUUGUGCCCCACACCCGAGCAUUUCUACUCUCCAAUGUCUUUCAGAAUUCCCCCCUUCUGUAAUUUUGUAAUGGAAAGACCCAACCACCGUGACUGUGUGCCAGAGACUAUGUGAUACCAUGUGAUACAUUGCUUAAGAAGACCCACACUGACAUGCCUUAUAAGAUCUUUUAAAAGAGCACAUCCAUCAAAAUAUCCUGGCAUAAGGACAGACAUAAGAUCAAUGGAUAGAAUUAAGAGCCAAGACCACUCAAUGGAAAAAGAAGAGGCUCUUCAACAAACGGUGCUGGGACAAGUGGAUAUGCAUAAGCGAAAGAACGAAGUUGGAGUCCUACCUCACACCACACACAAAAAUUAACUCAAAUGGAUCAACGACCCAAAUAUAAGAGCUAAAAGCCUAAGACUCUUAAAAGAAUAGAGAUAAAUCUUCAUGACCUUGGACUUGACAAUGGUUUCUUAGAUAUAACACCAAAAGCACAAGCAACAGAAGAAAAAAAAUUAAGUUAGACUUCAGAAACAUUAAAAACUUCUGUGUAUCAAAGGACACACAGAAAGUGAAGACAAUCCACAGAAUGGGGGAAAAUACUUGCAAGUUAUAUGUCUGAUAAAGGUCUAGUAUCUAGAAUAUACUAAGAACUCUAAUAACAACAGAAAGACAAAGAACUCAAUUAAAAAAUGGGCAAAGGACUUCAACAAACAUUUCUCUGAAGAUACACAAAAGGCCAAUAAGCACAUGGAAAGAGGUUCAACAUCUUGAGCCACUAGGGAAAUGCAAAUAAAAACCACAGUGACAUACUACUGCAUACCCAGUAGGGUGGCUGUAAUCUACAAAAACGGCAAACAAGUGUUAGGGAGGAUGCAGACAAACCGGAACGCCUGGACACUGCUGACGAGAACGCACAGCGACGUCGCCACUGCAGAAAACAGUCUGGCAGUUCUUCAGCAAGUUAAACAAAAUCACCAUGUGACCCAACAACCCUUCUCCUAAGCACAGACCUAAAAGAGCUGAAAACAGGCAUUGGGAAAAAACCUGUAUAUCAAUAUUCAGAGCAGUACUAUUCACGAUAGCCAAAGAUGGAAAUGACCCAAGUGCCCACCAACUGAUGAAACAAAGUAUGGUAUAUCGAAACAACAGAAUAUUACUCAGCCAUAAAAAGGAAUGAAGUAUUGACACAAGCUACAACAUAGAUGGACCUUGAAAAUAUUAUGCAACGUGAAAGAAGCCAAACACAAAAGGCCACACAUUGUAUGACUCCACUUACAUGAAAGAUCUACAACAGGCAAACCAGAGAGAGAAGGCAGAUUAGAGGUUGCCAGGGGCUGGGGGUAGGGGGUAAUGAAGAGUGACUGUUUAAUGGGUAGGGGAUUUCCCUUUGGGGUGAGGAAAAUCUUCUGGAACUAGACAGUGGUGAUGGUUCCACAACACUUGUGAACGUACUAGAUGUCACUAAUGGUAAAUUUUGUGUUAUGUGUAUUUUAUCACAUAUUAAAAAAAAGAGAUUUUGUCUUUCAUUUUCAGCUUGUUCAGGGAACUUCCCCCAACCGUCCCAAGCAGAACCAGGAGCUUCCUUCUUCUGUGACCCCCAGUGGCCUCUCAAUACGGCUGUGCAGCUCUCUUCGCCUGGCACUGGGAUGGGGGUCUCUCCAAGAGGAGCCUGGAAGCUCUCUGAAAGGGCCUGUUUUUUCAGUGAUGAACCCCACUGUCAGGGGCAGCGCCGGGCACACAGCAAGGGAGGAAUCAGCGUGGAACGGAGGACUCAACGCCACGAGUGCUUAACCCACCACUCCUGCGCGGCGCCACCCUCUCACUAGCCUCCGCUCCUCGAGGCCGAGCCGACGGUCGCCGACAGUGAGGCGCUGCGAGCGCCAGCGGGCACGCGCGCUCCUGAAGGCUCGGCUGUGCUCUGGCACCGAGAAGGCAGGAAUGUUGGCUGAACCUUUUACUGAUGAAGAAGAGCAAUGCUGAUGGAUCUUUCUGCUGGCUUGACUUACAACACACACCCUGGGUCCAACACGCUUUCUGGAACUCCACGAUUCAAUAAUGAUCCUGUGUUUGCUUAGAGGCUUAAAGCUUCUGAUUUCCUAACCCAAAGCACCAGCUGGCUCUUCACAAGAAUGUGCUCCAUCUCGUCCCAUCCAUGCAGAGGCCACGUGGUACGACUCAACGGGGGGGCCAAGCUACUCCCCAGGCCACCCAAUGUCCACAAGCAACAGGUGUGAUGCUUUAGAAGUAACAGAAAACAGUUCUUCACAGGCUACAAGACUUGUGAUAUCAAAACAGACUGAAUGCAGGAGCAGACUUGAGAAGCCAGCUAUCUUCUAUCAAGCCAGGCAUUUAAGAGAUUUGCAAAAACAUAGAGCAAUGCCAUUUUUCUCAGUGAAUUUUUGUAAAUAAUUAUUUCUCAUAAAAAUAUGGUAUUUAUGUUAACAUGUAAUAGAUGUAUUACCGUUAUCAUUAGAUGAAGUAAUAAAUGCUUAAAAUAUUUCCGUUUUAACUCCAAUAUGAAAGGUAUCAGACAGCUAUAACCCACUAAACAAAGCUCUUCGGGAUCCUCUCUAGUUUUUAAGAGCGUAAAGGGGUGCUGGCGCCCCUUUCGCCUGAGCACUGCUAUUCUAAAGGAAGGAGCUAUUACACUCAGAGGAAUAUGUGCCAGGUGUGAUUUGCAAGCAAAUGUACGUAUUUUGUAGAAGGGUCUUUCUAGAUCGGUGGUCUCAACAGGGGGCCAUUUUGCCCUCCAGGAGACAUCUGGCACUGUCUGGAGGUACUUGCGCUCGUGACAACUGCAGGAGGUGAAGGGCUACCGGCAUCAAGCGGAGAAGGCCGAGGAUGCUGGCAAACAUCCUACAGCGCACAGGACCACAGGACGCCCCAUGGGAGCCUCUGGCCCCAAAGGUCAACAGUGCCGAGGGUGGGAUGCCUGGUGGGGAGCUCUCGUGUGGGAGGCCCUCAGGUCUCCCUGAGGACAGGAGUGGGCACUAGAAAGGGGAGAGCUCAAGGGAAGAACCACCGCUUCCUCAUUACCCUGAGGGCAGUAAGCUCUCGGCACCGCCUCCUAACUCAAACGCCUUCCAAUCCACUGCUGAUGACCCUUUGCAGACCCCCCAUCUUUCCUAAACACCUGGGCCCUAAGCAAAGACGAUGCGGAGUGCCCGGGAACAGAGAACCAGGCAUGACAAUUAAAAGCAGGAAAUUCCAUUUCCUCCAUAAUAAUUACAAAUGAAUUUCAAAAAAUAAUUUGAAGUACUACUCCUUUGGGUCCUCUCUGAGUUUCACUGGAGUCCAGUUUAGGGUCGUAUGGAAAAAGGUGGGAAGAGAAGGAUGGAAAAUGGGGCAUGGGCGGCCGAGUCCAGAACUCAGCCUGCAGACAGUGGCUUUUGGUGCCCUGGGGGAGGGGAGUCGGGGACUCUCCUCUCAGGAAGUGACAAUCACGGCUGCCUCCCCAGAAAACACACACACCAACCGACUUUCACUGCCCUCCUCCAACUCACUCAGGUUAAAACUCCUGCUACAGAGACAAGUGAUUAGAAAGCCAAAAAAAGUUCUCGAAAAGAUAUUUUUUCAUAAAAACAUUAUUUAUGUUAACAUGUAAUGGGUGGUGUUGUUAUUAGAUGAAUUAAUGAAUACUUUAAAAAUUUCAGUUUUAAUUUCUAAACCAUGACUCCACCACCUACACCUAUGGGACCUCAGCAAGCCUGGCCCGUCUGCAACACGGGGUGGGGGCAGAGGGGUGGAACGGAAAGGGAGAGAUUAUAAAGAGAAAGACGUUAUUACUAAGGUAGAAGGGGUCAAAAUAAGCUACUAAGUUGGAGAGAGGACUGUUCAGCUUUCUUUCAGCAACAGAGAUUACCUAAGAGUGGCUGCAGAGACUUUCAAACCAAACUAAGCUGAAGCAGGAUAUGUAAAAUACAUGACCCAAGAACACGAAUCCAACAACCUUUAAUGUGCUUAAAACAAAUCAUUUUACAAAAAGCAUUAACAGUUUUUAAAACGUAACUUUGGAUGCAGUACACAAACUAAAAACAACAACAACAAAAACACCAUCGUGUGAUCUGAUCCUCCAAAAUGGACUUUAGGAAUCUCUGAGCAAUUUAUU